UACGUAGGGUCCGAGCGUUGUCCGGAUUUAUUGGGCGUAAAGAGCUCGUAGGCGGUUCCGUAAGUCAGAUGUGAAAACUCAGGGCUCAACCCGGAGACGCCAUCUGAUACUGCGGUGACUGGAGUCUGGUAGGGGAACACGGAAUUCCUGGUGUAGCGGUGAAAUGCGCAGAUAUCAGGAAGAACACCCGUGGCGAAGGCGGCUCUCUGGGACGGUACUGACGCUGAGACGCGAAAGCGUGGGGAGCGAACAGG
rnacentral:rRNA from 1 species